AAUCGACGAGGAAAGAAGACCUUAUUGAGCUUGACUCUAGUUUGACUUUGUAAAAUGACUUGAGAGGUGUAGAAUAAGUGGGAACUGAAAGGCGAAAGAGAAAUACCACUACUUUUAACGUUAUUUUACUUAUUUCGUGAAUUAGAGGUGGACACUGCUCCUAUUUUUGGACCUAAGGCUCGCUUCAUGGGCUGAUCCAAGUGGAAUACAUUGUCAGGUGGGGAGUUUGGCUAGGAUGGCACAUCUGUUAAAAGAUAACGUAGGUGUCCAAAGAUGAGCUCAACGAGAACAGAAAUCUAGUUCGGAACAGAAGGGUAAAAGCUCAUUUAAUUCUGAUUUCUAGUACGAAUAAGAAUCGUGAAAGCAUAGCCUAACAAUCCUUUAGACCUUUGAAAUUUGAAACUAGAGGUGUCAAAAAAGUUACCAUAGGGAUAAUUGGCUUGUGGUAGCCAAGCGUUUAUAGCAACGUUGCUUUUUGAUCCUUCAAUGUUGGCUCUUCUUAUCAUUGUGAAGCAAAAUUCACCAAGUGUUAGAUUGUGCACACACCAUUAGGGAACGUGAGCUGGAUUAUGACCGAAUGCUAGAUAGGUUAGUUUUAUCCUACUGAUGAUAGUGUCGCAAUAGUAAUUCAACCUAGUACGAGAGGUACCAUUGAUUCGCACAAUUGGUCAUCACACUUGGUUGAAAAUCUAGUGACGUGAAGCUACAGUACGCUAGAUUAUGACUGAACUACUCUAAAUCAGAAUUCAGGCUAGAGGCGAUGUGUACACCUGUCGACCGCUUGCUGACCUAUAGUAGGGGCCUUACGGCCCCCAGGGGUACAUGUCAUUGGCCAAGCUCUUGCAGUGGACGUGCUACAUCGGCCG
rnacentral:rRNA from 1 species